rnacentral:misc_RNA from 1 species
AAUACGGAUAUUCUAUCUGCGCCCCCGGACCGCCAUUAUGCAUUUAAUUUUAGCGUGGUAGUUGGUUAAACAUAGUCGUUUUACUUUUUUUUUGGAAAUUAAUAGUAUUUUCUAUAAAAUUUCGCAAAGUAAAUUAAGUUCCAAGAUAAUAUUAUAAACGCUAUAUAAGUAUCGUGAUUCAAUUUGCUGGUAAUUUCUUUGUUGGUACAGAAACAAUGGAGGGACCGCCAAGCCGAGGUUUCCGAGGCGGUGGACGCGGUGGUCCUCCAGGUUUAAGAGGACGUGGAGGAUUUGACAUGCGUGGAAGGGGUGGUAUGGUGAUGAGAGGCCGCGGAGGCCCACCAAGAGGUGGAGGUCCGCCUAUGCGUGGUGGACCAAGGGGAUUCCGUGGAGGCCCUAUGAGGGGUGGUGGUGACAGAGGAGGUAGAGGCUUCAUGCCUGGCCCCCAAGGUCCAGGUCCUCAUCCAGUACCAACAAUUGAAUCUCGGGGACCACCACCACAAAGGGGUGGCUUCAACAAUAGAGGAGGAGGUCCAGGGGGCAUGCGAGGGAGGGGUGGUAGAGGUCGUGGUGACUUUGGCCCCCGUGGCGACAGAGGGGGACGUGGCAUGCCCAUGCGAGGUCGUGGUGGCCGCGGCGGACACGGUGCGCCUCCUGGCCCGCCCGGGCCGGCUGGUCCUCACCCAGGCCCGGUUGCUUCGGGGCCGGCACCCAGUGGUCCACCACAGGCUGCCCCGAGACCAGCACCUCCGCAGCACCAGUCUGGCGGCUUACCGGGACAAGGCCCACCAUUUAAGCGCGGUGGCGGACCACCCCACGGCGGUCCAGGAGGCCCACCCAAACGCGGCAGGUUUGACGGGCCACGCGGUGGCGGCGGAGCUCGCCUACCACCCGCAAGUGGGUAUCAGCAGUCUGUGCCACCACACAAUUCUUCAUUGCAGCUGAAUGGCUAUGGCCCUUCACACACGGGGUAUCAACCAUACGAGGCUCCGGCGGCGGAUCCUUACGCGCAACCUUCGUACAACACGCCUAGUUCAUAUCAAGAUAACAACUACUCGGCGCCUGCGCCCGCACAGGCCAACUCUGGUUACAAUUCUGGUGGUUAUGGCUCUAAUUACGGAUAUUCUACUGGUGGCCAAGGGAAUUACGAAAAUGACGGUUACAGUGGCGGGCCGGGCGGGCCGGGGGGCCCGGGCGGCGCGGGGGACGCGGGCUACGGCGCCGUGGAGCCCGCGUACGGCGGCGCGGCGCCCGCCUAUGACUCCUACUCACAGCCCUCCUACAACUCGUACCAGCAGCCGCAGCAGCCCUACAACAACUAUGAGAAUACAUGAAAUGAAGAUUAAAUUCAUAUUGGGAUAAUUUCAUCAUCAAAUAAGAUGGCUAAUUUGACAAAGUCAAAAACAUCGACAAUUUGGUCUGCCUACGCGCUAUACAGGUUUUUUGUACCAAAUAAAAAAUCUCCAUUGAGUCGUCCGUUAAGCUCGGCACACCGAUAAUCUACAAGAUAGAUCAACGAAAUAUUGGAUAACGGAGCGAGAAACGGAAGCUCUUAGGUGUUUGAAUAUGUUUUCAUCUGGUAAAACUAAAGCCUUGUUAAUUUGAAUUCACUUUUAUAAUAAAAACUUGUGACAAAA